rnacentral:rRNA from 1 species
GAUGAACGCUAGCGGCAGGCCUAACACAUGCAAGUCGAGGGAGAGGUUAUCUUCGGGUAACCAAAACCGGCGCACGGGUGCGUAACGCGUAUACAAUCUGCCUUUCACAUAGGGAUAGCCCGAAGAAAUUUGGAUUAAUACCUAAUGGUAUAUAAGAGCGGCAUCGUUUUUAUAUUAAAGCUACGGUGGUGAAAGAUGAGUAUGCGUUCUAUUAGCUAGUUGGAGAGGUAACGGCUCCCCAAGGCGACGAUAGAUAGGGGUUCUGAGAGGGAUGUCCCCCACACUGGUACUGAGAUACGGACCAGACUCCUACGGGAGGCAGCAGUGAGGAAUAUUGGACAAUGGUCGGAAGACUGAUCCAGCCAUGCCGCGUGCAGGAUGAAGGUCCUAUGGAUUGUAAACUGCUUUUGCAAGGGAAGAAUAAGGAGUACGUGUACUUUGAUGACGGUACCUUACGAAUAAGCAUCGGCUAACUCCGUGCCAGCAGCCGCGGUAACACGGAGGAUGCGAGCGUUAUCCGGAAUCAUUGGGUUUAAAGGGUCCGUAGGCGGGCUGAUAAGUCAGAGGUGAAAGCGCUUAGCUCAACUAAGCAACUGCCUUUGAAACUGUCAGUCUUGAAUGAUUGUGAAGUAGUUGGAAUGUGUAGUGUAGCGGUGAAAUGCUUAGAUAUUACACAGAACACCGAUAGCGAAGGCAUAUUACUAACAAUUUAUUGACGCUGAUGGACGAAAGCGUGGGGAGCGAACAGG